UUUCAGUGCAUUCCGUUGAUGUAGACGGCAUGAAAACGGAAACAACAAGUAUGCCGGCUCACUGUGCUGCAUACAAUUGCACACUGCGUCGUACGAUUGAGACAAGGAAACUUGGAAUGACUUUUCAUAAUUUCCCAGAGACUAUGGGUUGAGGAGGAAUUGGAAGUUUGUCGGCUUAGACCUGGUGUCAUUCCAUCAGUGUUAAACUUCCCGGCUCAUCUUGGAAGAGUACGUGCCAGAAAGACCACGACCAAGCAGCCUUGAGAUCUUAGGCAGCGUCUCCCUGAGGUCCCUCUCUAUCUCCCUACACAUCCACCAACCACUGGAACACAUCUCCAAAGUUCUGCCGGGCCAGCUCAGCUUCCCCUCAGAAGAAGUUCCGCCACCUGCCAGAUGAAGGAGCCUUUUGAGAGGCAGCUGGCAUCAUGAUUGGACUGUACUUUGGUCUGUUCCAAUCCAGCUUCAGCUCCAGAGACGGAAGGCAGGAUGAGUCAACGGAGGCCAGGUGGACGAAGGCAUGCAGCUGAGUACAAUCCAGAAAACAAGAGAAGAGGAGUGCAGUGGCGCAGGGCCAGAACAGAGUAGCAUGACCAAAGAACUACAGACUCUUCACAACCUGCUCAAACUCUUGGUACAGGACCUCACCACACGGGUCAAGAAGGUUUCUGUCUCAUUUCUACUCUGAAGCUUCUCCUGCUCAAACUGCUGACAAAUGUUUCUGCUGCUCUAAAGUCUGGUCUCCAGAACUUCCUAAAAACUGUCAAAGUCUCUUCUGCUGCAGGUUGCUUUGUAGAACUGUUCCAGAAAACCUCACUAAACCACAUGGAGGGGCCUCAAGAUAGUCGUCCAAAUGAAACCAUACAAAAACCAAACUAGCACAACCCAAACACUAAAGUCUCCUGCAGCCUACCAGAGAAUCUCUGAGAACAGAGAAUCAGGACAGGAACUCUUACCUUCUGGACAACCAACGCUGGUUCACAAACAAGAAUACAGAAUGUGUCUGACCAGAAACCUCUAAAGACUCACUACAGCCAAGAUAAAGACACAACUCAGCUGGACCAAAUCCACUAAUCACAGCACACAUCAGCACCAUGUGCUAACUGUGGCUAAAGAACCACAUUUACCAAGACAACUAUCCAGUACAAAGCCCUAAAACACACCAAGAAACACAUUAAAGACGAUUUUACUGCUGGAAGCUGCAAGCCAAUGCCUUAAAAACAAACUAAAGCAACAGAGUCAAACCCAGUUCACUGGUGAAGAGAAACAGAGGAAAUGUUUGACUGCAGCUAAACAAAGCAGGAAGACACUGAGCUGCUCAGGUGUUCCUGAUAACACCAAGCAGCCACCUGGACAGCCAAUAGGAACACAGCUUACUGGAAGUCCAGAGGGCUGGGUUAGUGAAGGAAAUUUAGUUUAAAGUUGAGGCAGAAAGUUAACAAAGAAAGUUGAAAACCACCUUCUGAUACCUGAAAUCUCUGAGUUUUCACACAAAGAACACCUGAACAUGUCAAACUGGUUCCAUAGUAGAACCAUCAUUGUAAAAACGUCAUAGUAUGGUGUGUUGCUCAAAAAACAUUAGGACCCGGCUGUCAGGGGACAAACAUGUAAGAAACAUGAGAACAGAGAGAACCCAACCAGUAGGUCACAGUUUAUCAUCCCCCAGUCAUCUCCUGAAGUCCAUAUGGUGAGAGACAUCAGUAUCUGGUUGUUAAUUUACCAGAGGAUGCUUAUAAUCAUGCUGAUGUGGUCUGUACUCUACAGUAUUUUAGUGACUCAAUAAAUGCCUAAGUUUUUUUUUUUUAAAUGCUUUUUAGUUUUUAAUAAACAGUUAAGAGCCUAUAUGUAAUCAAUAAUAAAUGGCCUUUGCCUACCUUAAGAAAAAUUCACUCAGAACUCUGAUAUGUUAACAGUACUAAAUAAAUCAAUAAAUACAUGCAUACACACAUAAAUAAGUUAAUACAUUAACUGUGUUAAGAUUUAGAUUUUUAAAAAGUUGUUUAUGUUUUUGCAGAAUCCAGUAUUGCUCACUGGUUGGUCAUUACAUUUUAUUAGUUUGAUUUCACUGUUUAAAAUGAUGCUACCUCUUUUCAGACAGAACGUGUGAUAAUAAAACAAUACAAAAUUUUUAGUUCCGUGUUAAUAAAGCACUUAAAGUUUUAAGUAUGGCUAAAUGCCUUUUUCAAAAUUAAAUAUAAUGCUGUAGCUGAUCGGUGUAUGCUUUAUAUUCUAGGUUCUUCAAAGUAGUCACCUUUUGCUUUGAUAACAGCUUUGCACUCACUUGGCAUUCUCUAACCAGCUUCAUGAGGUCAUCACCUGGAACUUUUCCAGCAGUCUUCAAGAAGUUCCCACAUAUGCUGAGCACUUGUUGGCUGCUAUUCCUUCACUCUGCGGUCAAACCGUCUCAGUUGGGAUUAGGUCUAGUGAUUGUGGAGGCCAGGUCACCUGAUGCAGCACUCCAUCACACUCCUAAGGUUCCACUAAGUGUAAACCAGAUGGGAUGGCGUGUCGCUGCAGAAUAUCAGCAGCAAAGCAUCCCUACUGCAUCACAUCACCAGUGGCAUCAUAACUUCAUGGUUUUUAUGACCGCACUUGAAGAAACUUUCAAAGUUCUUGAAAUUUCUUGAACUCCCUGACCGCCUUGUGCUUAUGAACUAAUGGACUGUUGUUUAUCAUCGCUUAGUUGAGCAGUUCUUAGACAUAUGGAUCCAUAAAAACAAAAUCUGGAAUACUAUUGGAUAGGGCUGUUUGAUCUGUAUGACCACAUUGCCAUAGGAAAUCAAAUGCAUUAAGAUGGCAAGGAAUUCUACCAAUUAACUUAAGAUAAGUCUCAAUUGUAAGCUGAAAACCACUCUACAUGACAACCUCAUGAUUAAGAUGUUGGUGAAGAUAUUGUCAAUAGUGUACAAAACCGUUACAAGACAAACUGUGGCUAUUUUGAGGAAUCUAAACAAUGAAACAAUUUUUUGUUAGUUUUUCGCCUACUACAUAAACCCAUAUGUGUUAUUUCAUAGUUUUGAUGUCCUCAGUAUCCUUGGUCAAAUAAGAUCCAGUAUGCACUAAGGUUAAUUCUUGCUUAUAGCGAGGUUCAUGGACACGGUUGCCGAAAUUUGUGAUCACGCCUGUAAACACUGCAAGUGUCCUGACUGUGAACAUACCAGGAAAACAAAUGAUGCUUGAAACCGUUGCUUGUUGUGAGAAGAGACUGCAAGGAGAUGUGCCAUUAUCCACACCUUUAUAAUUCAUUGUUAGAACUGUUCCAAUUGAAGAAGUUGCUGCCAGAAUUUGAAGUUGCGUUGCAUGGUGGAAAUCUCUAAAUUCUCUAGAAAUCCUCUGCUAUGUCUGGCCCCUGCAGAAAAAUAACACUGACAUGGUGCUACAGCUCAGACUGCAAGUAGCUACUAUGUCCUGUAAGAUGCGCAAAGUCGCAGCCUUACAGAAGCAUCCACAGGAUCCCUGUGUGUUUUUCUGUUUGAUAUUAGGGGCAGUGCAGCUAAUAGCAGGCCAAUGCAUACGUACUGUAGGAUGAAUAGAAUCACUUGCGCAUCUGAUGUUUGAUUCAUGUCCAUAUUGGUUAGCACAUGAAGAUACUGAACCAUCAAUUGGCUUUAAAUUUUUACCAACUCCUAAAAAGUGCUAAAUGCUUCAUUGUAUUUACUAGCUACUAACAACACCUUAGAAGUUUUUCUAUUUUAUUGAUUUUUAAGAUUGAAUCAUGGUCAAUUUGGUUUGGAUUUUUUGAGAACUGAGAAAAAGACUCUUUCACGUCAAAAUGAUGAUUAUGAUUGCAUAAAUAUUCACCACCUUUGAAGUGAUGCACCUAAUUCAACACAUGACCAUCCAGUUGGUGCCAGAAGUCAGACAACUGGUGCAAUGGAGAUCAUCACUUUGACAUGAAAGAAUCUUUCUCUAAAUUCUUGUCAGAAAAACCAAAAUAUAUUGACCAUGAUUCAAGGUGAAAAGCAACAAAAGGGGAAAACUUCUAAGGGGGUGAAUAUUAAAAAUAUCAUAAUUUUUUCCUUUUUACUCUUUGUGUUAUUUAGUUAGGAUACAAUGAGUUUCUUUUUUUGUGUGUAUUUAUUUAAUCAUUUAUUUUACCCAGAAACAACUGCCUGUGUUUUUUCAGAAUGGUUAGAGAUCAUGGACAUUAAAGCUGAGGACUGUAAAACCAAAACAAGCAGCUGAAAGAUGCUAAAAUGCAGAGUGGAGCUAACUUGGAGCAGCUGUUUGAAUCCACUGUUAGUACAAAAUAUCACGACAACAAGGACAUUUUACAGGUGCUUAAAGUCUGCCGAAUACAAACUGGAAACUUAAGUAUGAGCAGACAAGCAUCUAGAAUAAAUCUGGAUGAUAUUACUGUCACUGCUUCCAAAUCCUGAGGCAGUAAUCAGCUUGAAUCUUGACAAUGCUCACCACUACAAAUUGCACAUUUGUAGCGAUUUCAUGUCUUACCAUGUCUAACCCUGGCACAAACAAGUUCUCCACAGUGUAAUUGCAUAUUUUUGAAGAAUACUAACAGUCCAUUGUGUCCCUUUGACCAAAAAAUAUGCUUGAAUUUGUCCAGACCUCCUUGUGCUUUACAAGUCUGCUUACAGAAGAUUAAGUCCAAACUGCUGUUGCUUCACUUUUCUGGAUAUGAGUGACUGUAACAGCUGGAUGACCUGAGUGCACACAAUAAACAAGUUUCUGAAGGGAAUUAUUGAAGACUGGA